rnacentral:rRNA from 1 species
UACGAGAGGCCCAAACGUUAUUCGGAAUUACUGGGCUUAAAGAGUUCGUAGGCGGCGCAGAAAGUAGGGUGUGAAAGCCCUCGGCUCAACCGAGGAAUUGCGCUCUAAACUACUGUGCUUGAGGAACCUAGAGGUGAGCAGAACAGAUGGUGGAGCGGUGAAAUGCGUUGAUAUCAUCUGGAAUACCGGAGGCGAAGGCGGCUCACUGGGGGUUUUCUGACGCUGAGGAUCGAAAGCCAGGGUAGCGAACGGG